GACAGAGGUGGCGAACGUUAUCCGGAAUUAUUGGGCGUAAAGGGUGCGUAGGUGGUUUAGUAAGUUAGCAGUGGGAAAUCGAGGCCCAACCUCGUGGAAGUUGCUAAGACUAUUAUACUUAGAGUACAGGAGAGGUUAACGGAACUCCAUGUGGAGCGGUAAAAUGCAUAGAUAUAUGGGGGAACACCAAUAAGGCGAAGGCAGUUAACUAUUCUGAUACUGACGCUGAGGCACGAAAGCGUGGGGAGCAAAACGG
rnacentral:rRNA from 1 species